GUGAACAUUUGUGUGGUGGAGAUAAUCACAUAUGGGUGGGGACUCUGCUGCAGGAUGACAUGAGGGAGAAUUUUGAAAUCACAUGUGUGUUAACAGAUGGUUAAACCUGACACCAAAUGUGAAUUUCUUAGUGCAGAAAGCAGCAAGAACAAUUUAAAAAUCACAGGUUUGUGAAAUAAUGAAGAAAACUACCCCGUACUUUAAUCCUGGGUUACAAAUUACCUAAUUGGAAAGGAUUUGUCUGUUUUGGAGUACUGUGACCCCAGGAGCUGCACAGACCAUGUCAGGACACCAGCCAGGAGCAGCCUCCAUGCCUGAAAUGGCUUUGUCAGGGCUCAGAAAGGUGCAGAGCUUUGUGAAAUUCCUGAGCUGGGCUUUUCCUGGGGGGACCUUGGAGGUUAAGCCUUUUGGGGCAUGUCCAAGUGAAUUGGCUCAGAAUAACCGACAGGAGCAGGGCCAGGAGCUGACCUGGAUGAUCCCUGUGGGUCCUUCCAGCCCAGGACAUUCUGUGAUUCCAUGAGAUUGUCCCAAGACCCCACAGCUCUGAGAGCACGACACAUUUCCCACAUUAAAUGUACCAAAUGAUGCACAGGCUCCCUGACCUGGCUGUGAAAUUGUCGGAGAAAUUGCAGUAAUUACCUCAAAGUGCCACCUCCAACCACGCUGAGCCACGGAUGUUCUUGAAGUAAAUCUGUAUUUCACUUUACAAAUACCUAUGAAUGUUUUAAUUCUCCCCUUCUACAAAAGAGACGUGUGGGCUGACAGAAAUUAUUCACCAUUUGGGACUUCUGUGAUCAGGCAAACUAUUUAAUUUUCCAAGUGUAGAUUCGAGGUCUGACUUUGAGGAGCUGAAGUUUUAAAUAUUACAUUAUUUCUUUAUUUUAAAAGUGCAUGCAGGGACAGCACCACACUGCUGGUGAAAGCCUCCAGGACUUUGUGUGGGGAAAGUCUGCGCUUGGCUCCGGGUUAUCUUGGAGAAAUUAAAACUUCUGAGCUUUCUGCAGGAAUCCAGAUAUAUAGAUAUUUUAUAUAUAUAUAUAUAUAUAUAUAUAUAUAUAUGUGUGUAAGUAUUGAAAUAUAGCUGUGUCUGUCUGAGCUUCCAUACCUGACUGAGCCAAGGUCAUCUCUGCAGGAAAUUGCCCUGGCUUUCCUUUCUCUGCCUUGCAAUUCCAUCAAUCCAACGGAACACACCUGAGCCUUAAUUUGGAACUUUUUUAUGACCUUGGCUUGAGAAAACCUUUAUGUGUUUUAGGAGGAGUUUUUUUUCCUGGAAAGGGAGCUGAGGCCUUGGCAGGGAGGGUUGGAGUGCCCGUCCCUGGGGGUGCCCAGGGGAUUCCUGGAGGUGGCACUCAGGGCUGGGGCUCCAUGACCUUGAGGGGCAUUUCCAGCCUUAAAGGUUCUGGGAUUCUGUGCCGUUCCUUAAUUUCUUCUUUUUCUCCGACCCACAGGAAUUGUGUGGCUCUCAGACCUGCUGGCUGAAUCCUGUUGAAAUUACACUUUAAUUUUCGAGGAGUUUUGCAUUCUGCAUCUCAUUUUAUUGUGAGCAUACAUCAGCUGUUACUGAGCGUGACUCCAGAACUAAUUUUUCUUCCAUUUUCCCAGUUUUCCCUUGCCUUCAUGCCGAUUGUGUUUUACAGCACACCUUGCUCGCUGUCCUUUCCUUAUAAUUUUAGGGGAUUGUCACAUAUUUCACACUAACUUUUUGCAGUGCUGCUGGAGAAAGGUUAAGUAGGUUCUUGAUUACUCCUGUAGUUCUGGGGUUUAUGGCCCUGUUGAAUUAAGUGCACAUGAUUUGUGGCAUGGCUUGAACACCAAAUGUAUACAUUGAAUUAUUUCUUUACAUUUCAUUGCAGCAACAGGCAAUAUUCUAGAGGGUAAAUAUGUAUGCAAAUUACCUAUAUUGAGAAAACUUCCUGCUCUUUCUGUUUACAGAAGAUGGAUUUAUUCCUUUGGAAAUAUAUCAACAAAAAGACCCAAAUCUUUGCAGUUUUAAGAAACCAUUCCAGAGCGCCAGGGGAGAGGGGCAGCUUUACAGCCAUGGUAAAAGGUGGUUUUAUGUGAGAGUUACUUUUUUAUGUUGUGUGGAGCCCAGAUCCUCACGUACGCUCUGAUCCCUGCUCUCACUUGGUACAUUUAUAUUUAUUAAUUAUUUAUGACGUCCAUUGUUGCUGUGUGACUUUGUUCCUUGUCUUGCCUAAUGUGCCUUGGCAUGUCAAAGCUGUAUUUUUAUAAAAACCCCCAAACUCUAAUCAGAAGAUACUUAGUGUGCUGUGAAAAUUCCGUUCCCAAGACAGAGGGAGUGGGGGGAUGCUUUUUCUGGGCUUACAGGAGUUACAAAGCAGACUGGGUUGGCUUCUUAAGAAUGCAAAUGAUUGCGUGUGAGCAAGAUCCGUUGGUACAAAAAUAAAAUAUUCCACAUCCUGCUUGGGAAAUAAUAAUCCAUAUCCAAGCAACACGUAGUAGGUGGCUGAAUAAGACCCUGGCCUCAACUUGCUGCAAAACACGAGGAGCUGUAUUCACUUGGCAGUGAUUAAAAAUCGAAGUGUCACUGGUAGCCAACAGAGUCACAGUCUCCUUGUGCUGGGGGUGGAUGUGCCCAGCUUGCUCUGGAAGUUUGAAAUUCCAGGCACGUUUCCCCGAGAGGUUCCCGGUGCUGGGGUUUGAUCCAAUGUGUCUCACGUGCAGCGUUUCUUCUCUGACGUGCUCCUGAUGGAUUUGAUGGUGCCCAGGUUCCUGGUGUGCAGCUGAAGGGGGCUUUUAGUUUAAGGCAAACUUUGAUUCUUCUUUAACUUUGCUAAGUGGAAGAAUCCAUCCCUGGCAGGGU